AACUUGCUCAUAUCGACCAUUUUGCACAAUCUGUGUACAAGUGCUUGAAACCCAACAAAAUCUUUUAAGAAAAAUUAACAUGGAAAUGGAACAACUACAGCCAAGAAAGUCAUCUGUGGGCAGGCCGAUCAGACAGCCCUAUCGUACCGCAAAUCUCCAGAGGUUUGAAGAGAGCAAUGACGUGGUGAUGGAUGCACCCAAAGAACUGGAUGUACAGGGCAACUCCACAUUCAGCUCACAGACCAUCAUCUACUACACUGUCCUCUUUCUAAAACUGGGACUGUGGAUCGUCACUGCUUGGAUCUUGUCCUACCUCCACCUGGGCCUCCCAUGUUUAAUCCUGCCACUGAGGCUUUGGUUUUAUUCAGGGCAGAUGAACAGUGCUCUGAAAUUGGCUUAUAGACGCCUG